GGAAACGCCCUAAUGCACUCCACCACCCUUUUCACCUACCCACCCCUCCGCGUUUCGCCAUUUUGAUGUAUAGAAACACAUUCCUUAUAUAGGCAAAUUCAAUCAGAAGACUGACCCAAAACGACGAUUGUGAAGCCUCCUUUUGUCUCCAUUAACCGUAAGUUUUUCCUUACUUUCUCUUCCUGUUUCCUGGGAUAAUUUUCUCCGUUUUCCUCAUAUCCAAACACUGAUUUCGUCUUCGCCGUCUCUUUUGCUGCUUCUCGCGAAUUCAAUUUCUCUGAGAGAGAAAUCAGAGAGAGUGUGUGAGAUCGGCGAUGGGGAGAGGAAAGAUAGUGAUAAGAAGGAUUGACAAUUCGACGAGCAGGCAAGUGGCGUUCUCGAAGAGGAGGAAUGGAUUGUUGAAGAAGGCGAAGGAGUUAGCGAUCCUUUGCGAUACGGAGGUCGGAGUCAUGGUCUUCUCCAGCACUGGCAGGCUCUACGAAUAUUCUAGCACCAGAAAUACUCCAUCAGACAGACAGACCGACAAACAGAAAAGGAGACAGAAACAGAAAUAAAGAUAUGUUAAACAGAAGAGAAAGGCAAAGAAAGUUUGACCCGAGAGACUGGACCUCUUCUCUUUUUAUCAUAUCCGGGAUCCCAAUACUUACCUUAUUUCACCCAAAAACCUAGAGCAUGAAGUCGGUGAUUGAAAGAUACAACAAAACAAAGGAGAAGAAUCACCAACUGGCAACUCCACUUCUGAGGUUAGGAAGGGAAAAACAUAAGUCGGACGCUAUGCUUCAUGUCUUCAAGAUGCUGCAAAGGAAUAAAAAUUCCCAUUAAAAAAUAGUUCAUUUUUCACAUAUCAGUAUUACAGGAAUUAUGCAGUUCAGGCACAUAGGUAAACGAAAUGUGAUGGGAAGUGAAACAGGAGAAACAUUGGGCCUUCCUGUGUUCAAAAAUCACACACCCUAAUACUACUGUGAAACUGAAGCAGUGUAGAUUAGUCUACCAUUCAGGGAUUUUCAUCUGACAGAGAGCCAUAUCAUCUCAGGUGCAGCAAGGAACUUUGGAUUUGGUAUUGGAAGGUAAUAUCUCGUAAGAUUGAUCAUGGAAGCAUAACUUGACUCCUUUUACUAAUAAGACUGCAUAGGUCAACAUAAUUUACACUACUAGAAAUUACAACUAUGGCAACCCUUCCAAAACCGUUGCAAUAGACACAUUAACCGUCCCUGUAGGGCUAUUGGGACGGCUUUCGAUGCGUUCCAUGAUCCAGCGUUACAAUAGGCCUAUUGGAACGGUUAUUUGUAACGGUUUAAAAACCGUCUCCAUAUAGGGAUAUUGUAACGGUUAUGGAACUGAUACCGUUGUUCUAUCUAUGGGCACGGUUGUCUUUGUUGUUGGGACGGUUUUAAACCGUUGUUGUAUAUAUAAUACCAGCAAUUUUUUAAGUCUAUUGCAACGGUUUUCAUGAUAUAUUGCAACGGUUUUUGUAAUAUAUUGGAAAUAUUAUCAGUACCAUAUUGCAACAGAUAUUGUCACAUAUUGCAACGGUUAUUAUGGGCUGUUGUUUUUA